UUUAACCUCUCAGGUUACAAUGAGAUGUGGGCAUACGAUCAUCAAAGCGUGUUUGUUUCAUCGUACAAAAAAAAUCUGUUUUGAAGCUCACGAAAAAACAGAGGUUGCUCGCUCUAAUGUCAUUAUCGUGCAAGUUAUCGUCUCCGGUGGCUCUCUAAAUCGAGAUCGAUGUCGAGAUUGCAAAGCUUGCCAUGGAUGGAAGAUGAGCUUUCGGGAGUGUGUUGAAGUAUAGAAGAAAAGCUUCAAACUUGCAAGUGAUGGCUUCAGGAAAGACACCUGGACUGACUCAGGAAGCUAAUGGGGUUGCAAUUAAUAGACAAAAUGACAAUGAUGUAUUUGACGACAUGAAACAGCGGUUCCUCGCCUUCAAGAAGCAUAAGUACUUUUGCUUUUGCUUUUUCAAUGGUUUAUAAAUUACUUCAAGAAGCGGAUAACUUAGAACACUA